UACGAAGGGGGCUAGCGUUGUUCGGAAUCACUGGGCGUAAAGCGCACGCAGGCGGAUUGAUAAGUCAGGGGUGAAAUCCCGGAGCUCAACUUCGGAAUUGCCUUUGAUACUGUCUGUCUUGAGUCCGGGAGGGGUGAGUGGAAUUCCUAGUGUAGAGGUGAAAUUCGUAGAUAUUAGGAAGAACACCAGUGGCGAAGGCGGCUCACUGGCCCGGUACUGACGCUCAUGUGCGAAAGCGUGGGGAGCAAACAGG
rnacentral:rRNA from 1 species